rnacentral:tRNA from 1 species
AUGCCGGGGUGGCAGAGUGGUUAUUGCGCGGGCCUUGAGAGCCCGUGACCCUCACGGGUCGCGUGGGUUCGAAUCCCGCGGUAAA